UUUAAGAGGUUAAACUCAAUUGGCUUGAGUGAAGCCACGCCCUCUCAUAAGUGAAGAACAGGAAUAUUCCGGUUUUUCCAGGUUGCCUGAAAAAAUGUAGUCACGUAGUUUUCUUAGACGGUGAACAAGCUGUAUUACAAAGAGCAAAAGGUUUUUUCUUUUGGAGAUACACCGAAAUAUUAAAGAAAUAUUCAGAGAGCGAGACAACAUUGGUUGUGAUGGCUGAACGUUUUUUCCUGCUACUAGUCACCCAUGAGGCACGGAGCAGCCGCGUGAGCACAUUUUGACCAGAGGUCAGGUCCUUUUAGCGGGAACCUAAACUUCCUGGAGCUGCAUUCGAAUAUCGUUGGAUGUCGAUGCUGGAACUGGCGUGAACAGGAAGUUGGGGGAGGUACUCAAUGGAAGGGUAAAUACCAGUGACCUCAGCAGACCAGCUAAUCAUCCACAUCCCACCAGUUUGCAAGUGGACCAACCUUUGUGAAGAACUUGUGGCCACGGAUAUUCUGCGGUGACGGGCGAUCCCGUGGGUCGAUUUGAAAUAUUUUGCCCAUCAGUUUCCCAGCUUCAAUACCGAGGUUCUGGGGUAGAAUAAAUUUAGCUUCUUUGAUGUUCUUUAUCAUUUCACAGCGAUCGUCGUGAUCGAAUGGGAUUUCCCCAACCAGAAGCUGGUACCUGUAGUAAGAAAGGCAGCAAAGGUGUUUGAGGUCUUUCACAUUUGACAUAAAAAUGCUGUGCUUCCAAAAGAGCAAUUCCUCUCAACUGUGUGCCAGUAUUCAUUUUUCUUUUCUAUUUCAAGUAGAAAAAAAAAACAUAUUUAUGUAUGUUAGACGCAUGUCUUCUUAAAAUGUUAGACAGAUUUUAUUAGCCAUGCUGAUCUUUGGCCGGGAGGAGGGUUGAUAGGGUAUACGUACAUGACACAGCCCAGUGCCCAGACUUCUGCUUCCGUUCCAUGGCCCUCUCGUUUCCACACUUCUGGAGCCAUGUAACAUGGAGUACCACACACUUUUCUACAACACACACAAAUGGAAAACGUUAAGCGCACAUGUGCUUUAGCUUGCUGUAUAAACAAAUUUGAAAGCUUAGCCAGGAAUUCUGCAAAAAACACCUACUUGUCCCUCGGCUCCAGCUUGACCGCCAGUCCAAAAUCCCCGAUUUUCAGUUUCAUUUUGUCACUGACAAAUAAGUUUUCUGAAAGACAAACAAAUUUGCAUUAAGGAUAGACUCAAAUACUUUGCCAAACUGCAGACUUUACCAAAUUGAUAAAUGAACACUACACAGAAAUCCAGACGAGCUACACUCGCAAUGCCAUGUGAAAUGCCAGCAUUAUUAAACAGAGAAUUGAGUAAAGCGUGAGUGCAUGUACACAUAUCGAACUAGAUUUCCCUAUGGACAUAAUAUUGCCGGUAGAUGUGUUUUAUCCCCGAUAUCAGCUGUUGAAUGUAAUAGCGGACUUCGGGGUCAAUCAGAGUCCCGCGAGCUUUCAGGAUGUCACCAAGUGUCUGGGCAGGGAGAAACAGGGGCAGCCUGAUCCAUCACAAAGUCUUUGCCUUAGUAAGACGUCUAUAAAAGUCAGGGACUCACCUGCCUACUGCACAACUCCAUGAAAAUAUACAUGAACAGAUCGUCUUCAAAAGAAUGGGAGAAGCCCACAACGUUCUUGUGCCGUGGUUUUUUUCAAAAUUUCCACUUCUUGACACACCUGAGUGAAAUAUCAAACACACCAUCUCAUCAAGUACUGUAACAGGGAAAUGCAGAUAAACUGCAAAGAGGGAUGACAUUAAGCACAAUCCAUACCACAUACCUCCUCCAGUCCCCAGGAAUGUGGAGGUAUGACCAUCACAGCAAAGGUGUCACCACUUUCAAGGUCGGUCAUCUUGUAGCACUUGCCACAAGCACCCUAAAGAACAUGUCAAUAAAGGGCAUUUCUGACUGACCCUGUUCAAGCAUCUCCUCUCCGCAGAAAAAGAUCAACUGUAAUCACUUUCAACAACAACUUUGUGGUGCACACCUGUCCCAAAAGCGGCCAAGACAGCUGGGCAAUUUGAACUUGCUAGAUGGAUUACAUCACCACAUUGAAAAUUCCAUGGACGGAAAAAGAGGUGAACUUGCUAAGACAUUGCAACAAAACACGGAUAAAAACUUUCAUUACAAUCAACUUCAUUGAAGAAAAAAAACCCAUCUCCGUUAUGUACACCAAACAUUCAGUUUCGGUAAUGCAGUAACACAUGCUCAGGAAUAAAGACUUUUAUGUAGUGUGCAGUGACUAUCACAUCAUAUGUUACUGCGGCUCUUUAGGCACUCAGCUAUCGGUCUCACUUUGUCAUACAGAACAGGGAUUCAUUUCCUGGUGAAAAACUUCCUAUGUGGUAUGUGAUACCUCAGCUCCAAGAUGUGGAGCAGUUAUCUAUUACACCGUAAGGCUGGAUAUUUUUACAAAUAAAGGCAGCAAUGGUGUCGGUUAUUGCCUUAGAACGAGCUGUUAGCUGGCAGGGUGUGAAAAUUAGGGCGUUUAUUUUUUUUAAAGAGUUUUGUGUUAUUUGAAAGCAUUGUGAAAUGUAAAAAAAAAAACAGUAAUGAUAUGAUGAAAAUGGGAAUACUGACGUUGACAAUGCCAAUAUAAUAUUUUGGUAUGUUAAGGCAUGUUUGUUCUCUGCUUUAAAGAAAGGGGGAUGUGUUGAUAUGUAGUGCAGUACCUUUGGUGACCAGCAGAGAGACCUGGAGGGUUGGGAGGAGGUAAAGACAAGGGCUCGCGCGACGUGGCCGAGGGACUUGAGGAGAAUUAUACACUGACAGCAGUGGAGAUGAGAGCGCACUUGAAAUUAUCAAGUAAGAGAGGGUUAAUCGAGCAAAAUGUACAAUUAUUGGUCAGAAAAUGUCGGUCAAAUUUCUAAAUAAUUAUGGCGUACGAAUAAUGAUAUAUCCGUAAAUCGUAUUUUACCGAUUUAAAGAUGUUCAUUAUUCAUUGUAUUGUCACGCCCCCCUCGGGAGAAUGCAGCGGCAGCAGCCACACCUGAGUUACGUCAACUCCCUGUUUAGUUCUGCUUGGCGCUGCAUUAUAUGCAAGGUACUGUUGAGGGUUUUCAUAAGAAGUACAGGGCGGUCUUCCUCCUGUCUACCCCGAUCCGGUCCAUCUGCCUGCUUUGCUGCCAUCCCAUCCCAUCCCAUCCUGAUCCACCCGGACCUCUCCCUUGUACUUGUCCUGCGUCUCGCAUGCCACCUGUAGAACUGGCUUUUGGACUCGAUUGUACUUGCUGAUUCCAGUCCUGUUUGCGUGUUCCCAACAAUAAACCCCGUACAGUACGUUGCCUUCUGUGUCUCUACCAUCCUCCGGGGUUGCAUGUUGUGCAAUACUGUAGUAGCUUGGAUUCAACCAUUAGAUGGCAGUAGUAGCAUAUAGUUGGAGGGAAGUAGAAGAAGGCAAGAGAGGGAAGUUGAGUGUUUGUGCGUUGUUCCCGGAGCUGAUAAGUUAAUAAAUAUUGAACCUCUUGCCAUCCCCAAAUGUGUCUCGGCUGACUCUCAAUAUAUCAAAAGUACAUACCGUCUAUUUAUUUAUGUCUGCCCUUCAAACCGCUAGAUUCCUUCACUAAGCAGGAAGUUUGUCACGACAGCUGACACCAAAUCUCCUGCUGAGCUGGUUCAGACAGAACUAUCCUCAAUUCACCACGAGGGGGUGCCAACGCAGCAGCUUAGUUCUAUUGUUUCGCUUUUUCAAAGACAGUUUUUCUCUUCACAAAAGGACAACUUAACUGAAUAAUGCACUUUCAUAGUAAUUGUUUUUAAUCCGUGUUAAUGUUCUGAACAAUGACUACUAAAGGUUCUGUAAGGUUGUCCCACAUACUAUGGAUUUUAAGUUUUUUAUCAAGGUGUUAAAACGUACCAUCUAUUUUCUGCUGAAAGUUGCCAGUCCUGUGUUUUAUGUCUAGCAAUUUGUACAGUUUCUUCAGUAUGGCACAUAAACACAUGCCAUCAUCUACAGUAUGAGAAUCUCCUCCAGAACUCUGCAUUUCCUCAAGAUUUUUUUGUAAUAUUACAUAGGUGCAUCUCAUGAACCUUAAUUUGCCAAGCAUGUAUUGACUGGGCACAGUACAGUGGUGCAAUUUCUGACAAUGAAAGAACAUCAUGGACCCCUACUCCCCAUUCCUUAACCCGAUCGAGGGGCUCUGCUCAGCAUGGAGUUAGAAGGCUUACGAUCGCUAGCCACAUGCUCAGAUGGCCCUGCUGGCUGACAUGAAUGCAGCAUGUGAGGACAUUACAGCAGAUGCCUGCAGAGGCAGACACUUCACUGGCUGUGGAUGUUGUUCAGCCCAGCUACCUGAUGAGGGUCCAGCAUGGAGACAGUGUGACCCUGACAUGCUUCCGUCCAGAAGAUAUUUCUUUUGCAGUUUGGUUUUAGCAAGCUGCUGGUCAGAAGCCCCAGCUCAUCGCGAAAGCACUUCUCUACGUACCUGGUGAAUUUUACAAGGAAUAUAAAAACAUAAAACGUUACUCCUUACUGAAUGCAGAGGGGAGUUUUAACCUCACUAUUUCUAACGUGGAGCCGUCAGAUUCUGCAGUGUAUUAUUGCGCUGCUCUGUUCUAUAAUGAAAUCGCAUUUGGAAAUGGAACCUUUGUCAUAAUCACAGAUAAAUGAGAUUCCAACUAUUUUCAUAUUUGCUUUAUUAAAGUGUCAAUAAUAUUGUCCUUUGACAAACAUUUUUGACAGUUGAGCUCUGUGUCAAUAUAAAAUUAACCAACAUAGUUGAUGUAGAUUGCGAGCAUUGGUCCUUGAAUGUUUUUCUAUAUACAGCAUUAAACAAAAACAUUUAUAAAAGCUUUCCAAUUAGAAUUAUAAACUUUUUAUUAUUAUUACACGCAUAAAUAGCUGAAAUAUGUAAAAAUAAGUAUACAAGAAUACAAAUUAAUAGGAGGCAUUAAGUAUCAUCUUACUUGUGUGAAGUGGAUUUAGUUAUGUGUAUACAGUUAUGUGUUGGACCCCUCCUGAUGUUACAUUUAUACAUGAACAUGCACUGCAUCACAUCAUUAUACAGUUUGUUACAUUUAUACAUGAACAUGCGCUGCAUCACAUUAUUUCACAGUUUGUUACAUUUUGCUUGCUGUCAGAAAUCUUCAGCCAUAUGGAAUCUUCAGAUUUGGAAAAAUGUUACACAUUGCAGCCUCUUUCAAAUAAAUUAAAGGAAAAUGUUUACAUUUCAGUUUUGAGUUGAUAUAUAUAUUACUGCGUAAAAGUCUUAGGCGACAAAGAAAAUAUAUUCUUAAAAUUUUUUAACUCAACAGUCAGUGUAUAUUGUCUCAGAAAGACAUGCUAUAAUAUAAGAGUCGGAUAUGCACCAUUCAGAACUGGUUUGAGAAUGGACCUUAAAUUUCAAUUAAUUUUGUUCAUCUGAAAUAAAGUUGAAUCGCUGUUGAAAACAGGAUGCAGAAUUACAAUUCAUUUUUGAAUUUAAGGAAGCAGAAUGAAUACGUAUUUGAAUUCAAAUAAAUUCAUAUACAUACAGUACAUAUAGCUACAAUAUAGCUUUUAGCUAUACAGCCAAAUAUUUAAAUAUGAAUUACACAUAAGCACAUUAACAUUGUUGUGUAUCACUAUUAUAAUUUUAUUCAGAAUGAAAUAAUGCAACAUUUGAAGUGUCACCUAAAACAAUAAUUAUACUGUCAUUUUGUGCACCAUGGUGGAUCUGCUCAUAGGAAGAGCUGAGUGUCUCUCCUUAAAAGUCAGUGUUGGCUGCAGUGACUGCAGUUUCUAACCUAAGAAACGUCCCAAACACUUUUCCUGGAUCAAAAGUCAAACUAGUGCCUAUUCCUGCCAUGAAAGCUUCACAUAAUGUCACCGAUACCUGAGCCAACCAUGUUUAUCAGAGGAUGCCAACCCUUUGGCUGCAGCUUUCUCUGCACAGGCUGAGAGAGUUUUCAGUGUAGCAGGAAAAGAUUUCAGGCCAGACGAUUGCAGAUUAAAUCAUGAAACCUUUGAAGAUAUUAUGCUAAUCAACUGUAAUAUAAUAAUAAAUGUAAUCAUGUUUAUUUGAAUAAAGCAUAAUUGCAUUUGCCAUGAUGUCUUGCUUUUUGCUGUAGUGCUAUGGUAGAAAGGAAAAACUUUCCUUUCAACACACAAGAAAAUAAAUAGUAGAAACCGCAUGAAACCAAGUAAUUCCUUUUGCGGUGCACACUUCUUAUUUAAUGUUUAAAAAAUAGACAAACAAAAUGGUCAACAUAAGCCAGAGGGAUAUUGAUAGUCACGAAAAUCAUGAAAAUAUAAAAUACACUUUACACACUUCAUUUCUUUACAUUGAAAUUAAUUAAAUUCAUCUACCUUCAUGCACUAACAUGAAACAUAUGAUUAUACAAUUAUAAUGUUUGUUCUUAUCAUAUAAUGUUUGUUAUUGUCAUGCCCAUGCAGGCGGAACCCACCGAAUAGCCCGUCUCGAUCACGCCCACAUGGGCGGGACCAGCCAGGUGCUCCGUAGAACGCUUAAUGACGGAAUGGAUUUAAGCACUGAGCUCCAUCGGGACAUUGCGAAGUAUUGAGCCAUGCUAUUGAGCCAUACCGAGCAAUCUAUUGUCUAUCGUCUACCCGUUGCUUCCUACCUGUUCCGUCCGCCCAGUGUACUUACCUUGUCUGUUCCUCUUCCUCUUCCCAGACCCGUUCCCGAACCUGAACCUCUUGCCCCGCUGAGACCGGCUUCUCCUGGUACUCUUUCCCUGUGUUGUCGUGUCCCGUGUUUGUUCCUCUUUCGGCUUCGGACACAUGCUUCUGCCCCUCGACCAUUCUCCUCGCUUAGCCCCUUUCAUUGCUACGUACUAGUGCUGCCAAUAAAACUUCUGGCUGCGUGCAAAUCUAGAUCUCCGUUCCACUUCUUGGGCCAGUGUUACAGUUAUAAUAUAAUCUUUGUUAUCAUAUAAUGUUAUCAAUGUAUAUUAAAGCUGUUAAGGUAUGUUAGGAUAUUAAGGUAUACGAAUUACAUGGUGAUUAUGAAUGUUAUAUGAAUGCAUUGUAAAUGUAUAAUGUAGGUGCAGUUAAUGUAAAGUGUUACUGAAUAUAUACUAAUAAAUAGUUAUACAACAAAAAGAGACAAGAAUGUCAACUAUUCUCCAAGAAGUUACUUAUUUUAUGGAUGGAUAGAACAACAUGACAUCCAUUCCAAAAUAUUUCUAAAAUCGGCAAGAAAUAUUUUUCAGGAUCUGUGUUUUCCAUUGUGACUCUCAAAGCGCUGUCAUCAUCAACAUUUUGCUUUUCAGGUAAAGACUCCAACAGCAAGACUGUGGUACAGCAGCCUGUGUCUGACACUGUGUCUGACACAGACUCUGUGAGUCUGCAGUGUACGAUAGAGACUGGGAGCUGUGCAGGAGAACACAGUGUUUACUGGUUCAGACAUUGUUAGAGUGUAUCUGUGUAUUUUAUCAUAUUAUUAUCCUCCUAUAUGUGUACGUGCAACCCUUAACAACUAACCCAUGGCCCAGAAAGGGUUGCAGACAAGAUGUCCUCACAGGGGCCUACCAGAUUGUGACGCAGGAAUAAGAGACCUUGAGAAAGGAAACAGAUUCUGUCAACAUAGCAGGGGGCCCACCUUGAGAUAUGUAAUGCUUUGUAUUAACCCUGUUUCACGGAGGCCUCACACAGCAUUGACUAGUUUAAAGACAAGACCCAUGUAACCCCUCCCCUACCCUAUAAAUAAAGAAGCCAAGGGACUGUCCGGUGUGACACUCAACAGAGGCGCAGAUACUGUCUGUUGCACCUGAAGUGGGCACCCUUGCGCAAGUAAAACAGAAA